ACUUCAAGAUCAAGUCAGCGUACCGACCAGGUAUGCCAUACUUUGAGGGUGAUUACUGGUCUAAAGUGUUUGAGAAGAUCGCCCAGGAGGAAAAAGCGGAGAAGAUCGCAGCUGAGGCCGAGAAGAAUUGCAAGAAGGGAUGCUCACAGCCGCAGUAAGGCCGAAAGAAGAAGAGCAAGCCAGCACCGGCACGGAAGAGAAAAGAGUUCACUACGCGUGUCCUGACCCGGCUGGAGAAGGAUAAAAAUGCGUUCUUCACCAUCACGCUGAUUUCUUCGGAAAAGGUUGCGGACCUUGAGCCCAAGGAGGAGGAUGUGGACGAGCUGCAAAGCGGCAAUAUGAUGGAGAGUCGGGAUUCAUUUCUUGCCUACUGUCGUAAGAAUCAUCUUGAGUUUUCAACUUUGCGGCACGCGCAGUACGCUACACUGUGCAUGCUCAUCGAGCUGCAAAGCCAGUGCAAUGAAAUUGUAAUCGGCUACCGCUGCAAUACCUGCAUGGCUGAAAUUAUUGGAAGUCGUUUCCAUUGCCCAGUGUGGAAGGUGAGUUUGCAUAUUCCUAUUGGCCACUGUGUGUUUCCAGAUUUUUGUUCGUAUUUCUUGCCUCAAGUUCUCUUAGUUCUUUUAGAGUAGACUGUAAAUAGAGGCAAACGAUAGAAUUUUUGUGUCACGUGACUGUCGUCUAUACAACAUGCAACACUUGCAGAUUGCUGGUUCUUUACUUGCCAGUAGCGUCCAGAUCUCCCUCUAUUCUAUAUCUGAUUGUUGUUUUGUACGUGUUUGUUUCUUGCGUCCCUGGUCCUGCGCUACGCGACAGGCGCCCAGCAUGUGACGCAUAGUACAGGCCCAGG